UACGUAGGGGGCAAGCGUUGUCCGGAUUUAUUGGGCGUAAAAGGCUUGUAGGUGGCCACGCCAAGUCGGAUGUGAAAUCUCCCGGCUCAACUGGGAGGGGUCAUUCGAUACUGGCGGGCUCGAGGCCGGUAGGGGGAAGUGGAAUUCCCGGUGUAGUGGUGGAAUGCGUAGAUAUCGGGAGGAACAUCAGUGGCGAAGGCGGCCUUCUGGUCCAGUACUGACACUCAAGUGCGAAAGCGUGGGGAGCAAACAGG
rnacentral:rRNA from 1 species